CACCAUUGCGAGAAAACUGACUGACUGAGCUGAACGUGCAAAAAGUAUUUGCAUUAUAGAAGAACCACCUAUGCACCGGUUAUAAACAAUUUUAAUGGAACAUAAUCACUUAAGUAAGGUUCAAGAUUGAACCUGUUGAAGAUUGGCAUCUGAUAAGUCACCGGAGACCCAAACAGUAUACAACCCCCUGCAGGUUGAGCCCAAACAGUAUACAACCCCUGAAGAUUGAGCCCAAACAGUAUACAACCCCCUGAAGAUUGAGCCCAAACAGUAUACAACCACCUGAAGAUUGAGCCCAAACAGUAAACAACCACCUGAAGAUUGAGACCAAACAGCACCAAUAGGUCUUUCUAGGUAAGGUCUUGGUCUAAAACAGCCCAGCUGAGUGUAUGUCAUCGAUAUUUUUUGAUCACUAACUCGCGGAUAACUUUUAUAGUUAGUUUGUAUGUAUGUGUAUGUCCUCUCCCCGCCCCAUCAUCAAGUAUGGAAAGUUAAUGCGCCAGAUCUAAGUUCAAAUAAGGUUACUUCCAAACCUAACUGAGCACUCUUGCAAUCAAACUAAUGGACAAUGUUGGUCUUUUGAUCCCGUCUUUCAAACUGUGUUCUUCGCUUUUAUUGCAAAGAUCUUGAUCAGGAAAAUGUCUGCUUUUCUUUUAUUAAUAUUCCUUCUCAAAACAUGUGGGCAUGUCAAGUCGCACCAAAUGCAGACUCGAUCAUGCCAUACUACCACAUGUGGCAAGAAUGAUUGUAUUUGAUGAUGCAGGGUUUCCUUACUCUGAAGAUUUGUGAGACAGGGGUUGAAUGUUGGGCGAAUCGACUUUAUUCCCUUUUCUACCACAGAAGAUCUAUUUAAUUACAAUACAAUGCUUUAUAUUUGACAGUACUAUUUUCAUCCAGACUAAGGUAAUACAAUAUAUUCAGUGCAUCAGUUGUUUUCCUUUUUUUGUCAAUGUAUAAUAUGUAAAUGUAUGUCAUAUCCCUACCUCCCAUCAUCAAUUCAAAAGAAAUGAUUUUCAAACCCAAGUUUAAUUAAAAUUUUAGAAGAAUGAAUAAAGAACUUAUAAAUGAAUCAAAUUUAAAUAACUUCAAUCGAACAUUGUCAAUUAACGAAUGCUCUAACCUGUUCCUUGCCAACCACAUUCCAAUAUCCCUUUGAAUUGACCAUUCACACAGGGAAAACUAUAGCUUACAUUCUUGAGAUUAACACUUCCUAGACUGAAUGUAGUUGUAGGUUGCUACAGUGCCUGAAGACGGAGGCAGACGACCUCAACCUGAGGAUGGAGCCCGGACCACACCCGUGGGUUCUUCUUGUUGUAGGUUGCUACAGUGCCUGAAGACGGAAGAAGACGACCACAACCUGAGGAUGGAGCCCGGACCACACCCGUGGGUUUUUCUUGUUGUAGGUUGCUACAGUGCCUGAAGACGGAGGCAGACGACCACAACCUGAGGAUGGAGCCCGGACCACACCCGUGUUUGUUUUUGUUGUAGGUUGCUACAGUGCCUGAAGACGGAAGAAGACGGCCACACCAUGAAGAUGGAGCCCGGACCACACCUGUGGGUUUUUCUUGGUAAGGUCUUGGUCCAAUAGGGAGAGCAGCUGAGUGCAAGUAUCGCUAUUUUCAUUACUAGCCCGCGGAUCACUUUGAUACUCUUUCGUGUUAAUGUAUGAUAUGUAAAUGUUUGUGGAUAUCUUAUCCCUUUUCCAUUAUUAAGAAUGGAAAGUUCAUGCGCCAGAUCUAAGUCCAAAUAAGGUUACUUCCAAACAUUGCUAAGCGCUUUUGCAGUCGAACUAAUCGACAAUGUUGGACUUUUGAGAGAUUUUGAAACUGUGUUCUUUUUAAUUGCAAAGAUCUUUAUCAGGAAAAUGUUUGCUUUUCUUUUAUUAAUAUUUCUUCUCAAAACAUGUGGGCAUGUCAAGUCGCACCAAAUGCAAACUCGAUCAUACCAUACUACCGCAUGUGGUAAGAAUAAUAUUGUAUUUGAUGAUGCAGGAUUUCCUUGCUCUGAAGAUUUGUGAGACGAGUGUUAAAUAUUGGGCGAAUCGACUUGAUAGAUCAACAGCGUUUAUAAUUUGUAUGUCAAGAGGGGUAGAGUUUGGAUAUGUUGAGUUUGGAUUUCUUCUGGACAUUGCAUUUCCGUUUUCUACAAAAGAAAUGCAAUUUUAUUACAAUACAAUGCUUUAUAUUUAACUAUUGUCUAUAUAUUGCACUAUUUUCAUUCAGACUAAGGUAAUACAAUAUAUUCACCAGUGCAUCAGUUGAUUUCCUAUUUUUGUCAAUGUAUAAUAUGUAAAUGUAUGUCAUAUCCCUUGUCAAUUAACGAAUGCCAUUAAGCCAUUAAGGGCCGUCAACAUUUCAAUAUCCCUUUGAACUAACCAUUCACACGGGGAAAACUAUAGCUUACAUUCUUGUGAUUAACACCUCCUAGACUGAAUGUAGUUGUAGGUUGCUACAGUGCCUGAAGACGGAGGCAGACGACCUCAACCUGAGGAUGGAGCCCGGACCACACCCGAGGGUUUUUCCUGGUUGCUACAGUGCUUGAAGACGGAGGACGACGACCACACCCUGAAGAUGGAGCCCGGACCACACACGUGGGUUUUUCUUGUUGUAGGUUGCUACAGUGCCUGAAGACGGAAGAAGACGACCACAACAUGAGGAUGGAGACCGGACCACACCCGUGGGUUUUUCUUGUUGUAGGUUGAAGCAGAGCCUGAAGACGGAAGAAGAGGACCACUCUCUCAAGAUGGAGCCUGGACCACACCUGUAGGUCUUUUUGCAUGGUAAGGUCUCGGUCCAAAAGAGUCCAGUGGACUUCAGUACGAUUAACGGAAACAUAGUGCGUGAGAUUGAAGUUCAAACAAGGUUAUUUCCAAACCAUACUGAGCAAUCUUACAAUCAAUCUAAUAAAUUAUGUUGGUCUUUUGAUCGCGUUUUUUCAAACUGUUCCUCUCUGAUUUUGCUUUGUUUGCAGUCCAAUACUCCUCUAAAUUCAUUAGUGUGUGAUUUUACUUGAUAGGCUUAGAUUGAACAAUAGCAGAAACGGAGUUGAAUGUGGGGCGAAUCGACUUGAUAGAUCGACAGCGCAAAUAAUUUGAUUAUCAGGAUAAGUAUAUUGUUUUGAUAGUCCCAAUUGGUAUGGAUUUUGUUAACUGUUCUUUCCUACAACAGAAUAACUGUUAUUACAGACAAAAGUGCUGAAUUUAACACUACGCAGCCAGAUAACAAAAAGUCUGAAGGUAUCGAUUUUAUAUGUAUGUGGCGGCGGUAAAGUAUCGCCGAUUUUCUCAGGUAAGCAAAUCAUAAAAAAAUAUCUGAAAUCACUUAUCUGAAUAAUGCAUUACAUAUUCCGGGAAUAGCAGAGCACGAUGGCAGUACAUUAGCUGUUGGUACCACAUCAUCUUACAGUAAUCUACAAAAACAUUGAAGAACCACCACAAUGGAUCAAAUGCAGACCCACCAUAGACAGAAGACCUCAGACGAUGUAGCCACGACGAAUGAGUCGCCACCGAUGAGACACUCCAAAUAGGACCCAAUGACAGAUCAUAGAAUAUAACGAAAGGUUUUGCAAGGCAAUCCAUAGUCCCCGACCGGUGAAGAUUUCUAACUUUUUCAAACAAAAGUUUAGGUCAGAGGUCAAAGUAUAAGUCACGGUGAUGGGAAAAAACUAUGACCGCAAACGUCCUAUGGAAACGCCGCAUACAGCAUACUAUAGCACAGCAGAGAAGAUUGAACCCAAUUCUAGACAAGCUGCAGCUGAACAGACAGCAGACAAAAAAAGGAUCGAAUCUCGCCCUAUUACAGAUGACAAACCAGAUCGAUGCAACCACUGACGUAAGGACGGUCCAGAGCACAAGACCACCCAUGACAGAUCAAAGAGAAAAGUGUACAACCACCAGUAGCAAGACAAUAAAUAAUGAAUUCAUAACCUAUCACAAACCACAGCUGAUGGGAUCACAACCCAUGAUGGAUCAGAAAUACUGGAACAAUAAGUGGUGACCUAAGUGAAAUGAUUGAACAGACACCUACCAGAAAUUUGUAGGUUUCUGCAGAGCCUGACGACGGAAGAAUAGGACCAUAUCAUGAAGAUUGGAGCUUGGACCACACCUAAGUCUUCCUUGUUGAAGUCUCGCUCCAAACGUGAUCCCAGCGGAAUGUAUAUGUGAGGAUUGAACUGCACACAAAUAACAGUUCCAAAAUGACAAUAACGGACUACCAGCCACAACAGGCCACAUGGGAUGAACACGAAGAAACUCUCGGCAAAUAAAAACAUGGCUUCGACAGACGAGAGCUUGGUACCACCAUUCGCACAUAAUACACAAUGACAGAUGUCCAUGACCGACCAGACAAGAAGAAAUCUCCUUUCAUGAAUAACCACAGAUUACAAGUCUUGCAGAGAAUGAGAUUUCGUACCAGAGUCCAGUUUUCAUGUUGACAGGAGCAUCUCCAAACCAAACAGGAGAUAAAACGAUGUCGAGAUGCUGCGAGUCUCGAUGCCACUGCAACACCGCAGGCAGAAUGUACAUCAGUUUAAUAGAUGAAAAACAUGCAACACACCUGAUUGAUCCAAAACCUGUCAUCCUCCAAACUGAGCCACAGACAUCGCGUCCAAGUUCAGCAACAAGUUUCCUUAUGGUCGGAUUGGACUUCGCCAGUGUAUGGUAAGGUUAAUUGAAUCUAACCU
rnacentral:lncRNA from 1 species